rnacentral:rRNA from 1 species
UGUGAACUCGAAGAGUAGGGCGGGACACGUGGUAUCCUGUCUGAAUAUGGGGGGACCAUCCUCCAAGGCUAAAUACUCCUGACUGACCGAUAGUGAACCAGUACCGUGAGGGAAAGGCGAAAAGAACCCCGGCGAGGGGAGUGAAAAAGAACCUGAAACCGUGUACGUACAAGCAGUGGGAGCACCUUCGGGUGUGACUGCGUACCUUUUGUAUAAUGGGUCAGCGACUUAUAUUCUGUAGCAAGGUUAACCGUAUAGGGGAGCCGCAGGGAAACCGAGUCUUAACUGGGCGUUAAGUUGCAGGGUAUAGACCCGAAACCCGGUGAUCUAGCCAUGGGCAGGUUGAAGGUUGGGUAACACUAACUGGAGGACCGAACCGACUAAUGUUGAAAAAUUAGCGGAUGACUUGUGGCUGGGGGUGAAAGGCCAAUCAAACCGGGAGAUAGCUGGUUCUCCCCGAAAGCUAUUUAGGUAGCGCCUCGUGAAUUCAUCUUCGGGGGUAGAGCACUGUUUCGGCUAGGGGGUCAUCCCGACUUACCAACCCGAUGCAAACUACGAAUACCGAAGAAUGUUAUCACGGGAGACACACGGCGGGUGCUAACGUCCGUCGUGAAGAGGGAAACAACCCAGACCGCCAGCUAAGGUCCCAAAGUCAUGGUUAAGUGGGAAACGAUGUGGGAAGGCACAGACAGCCAGGAUGUUGGCUUAGAAGCAGCCAUCAUUUAAAGAAAGCGUAAUAGCUCACUGGUCGAGUCGGCCUGCGCGGAAGAUGUAACGGGGCUAAACCAUGCACCGAAGCUGCGGCAGCGACACUAUGUGUUGUUGGGUAGGGGAGCGUUCUGUAAGCCUGCGAAGGUGACCUGUGAGGGUUGCUGGAGGUAUCAGAAGUGCGAAUGCUGACAUAAGUAACGAUAAAGCGGGUGAAAAGCCCGCUCGCCGGAAGACCAAGGGUUCCUGUCCAACGUUAAUCGGGGCAGGGUGAGUCGACCCCUAAGGC